CAUUUGCAUUAUAGACUGAAUUUUGAUCUGGACAAAAAUUUCAUCACAGCUUGAAAGAGCAUCACAAAAUUAGUAAUAUUCCAAAGUUUCGUUGCGAAAUGUUGUAAAAUGCGGAUAAUAUAGCCAUGCGAAGUUUGCCGUUUUUCAGUCAUUUUGUAUUACGCACGGGAAAUUGACAGCCCAAUCGGGUGUUGGGGCAUCAAUUUCCGUUUGUAAUACAAAAUGACUGAAAAUUGCAAAUUUCGC